rnacentral:rRNA from 1 species
AAUACAUGCAAGUCGAACGGAAAGGCCUCUUUCGGGGGGUACUCGAGUGGCGAACGGGUGAGUAACACGUGAGUAACCUGCCCUUGACUUUGGGAUAACUUCAGGAAACUGGGGCUAAUACCGGAUAGGAGCUCCUGCUGCAUGGUGGGGGUUGGAAAGUUUCGGCGGUUGGGGAUGGACUCGCGGCUUAUCAGCUUGUUGGUGGGGUAGUGGCUUACCAAGGCUUUGACGGGUAGCCGGCCUGAGAGGGUGACCGGCCACAUUGGGACUGAGAUACGGCCCAGACUCCUACGGGAGGCAGCAGUGGGAAUAUUGCACAAUGGGCGGAAGCCUGAUGCAGCAACGCCGCGUGCGGGAUGACGGCCUUCGGGUUGUAAACCGCUUUCGCCUGUGACGAAGCGUGAGUGACGGUAAUGGGUAAAGAAGCACCGGCUAACUACGUGCCAGCAGCCGCGGUGAUACGUAGGGUGCGAGCGUUGUCCGGAUUUAUUGGGCGUAAAGGGCUCGUAGGUGGUUGAUCGCGUCGGAAGUGUAAUCUUGGGGCUUAACCCUGAGCGUGCUUUCGAUACGGGUUGACUUGAGGAAGGUAGGGGAGAAUGGAAUUCCUGGUGGAGCGGUGGAAUGCGCAGAUAUCAGGAGGAACACCAGUGGCGAAGGCGGUUCUCUGGGCCUUUCCUGACGCUGAGGAGCGAAAGCGUGGGGAGCGAACAGGCUUAGAUACCCUGGUAGUCCACGCUGUAAACGGUGGGUACUAGGUGUGGGGUCCAUUCCACGGGUUCCGUGCCGUAGCUAACGCUUUAAGUACCCCGCCUGGGGAGUACGGCCGCAAGGCUAAAACUCAAAGGAAUUGACGGGGCCCCGCACAAGCGGCGGAGCAUGCGGAUUAAUUCGAUGCAACGCGUAGAACCUUACCUGGGUUUGACAUGGAUCGGGAGCGCUCAGAGAUGGGUGUGCCUCUUUUGGGGUCGGUUCACAGGUGGUGCAUGGCGUCAGCUCGUGUCGUGAGAUGUUGGGUUAAGUCCCGCAACGAGCGCAACCCUUGUUCACUGUUGCCAGCACGUUAUGGUGGGGACUCAGUGGAGACCGCCGGGGUCAACUCGGAGGAAGGUGGGGAUGACGUCAACUCGGAGGAAGGUGGGGAUGACGUCAAGUCAUCAUGCCCCUUAUGUCCAGGGCUUCACGCAUGCUACAAUGGCUGGUACAGAGAGUGGCGAGCCUGUGAGGGUGAGCGAAUCUCGGAAAGCCGGUCUCAGUUCGGAUUGGGGUCUGCAACUCGACCUCAUGAAGUCGGAGUCGCUAGUAAUCGCAGAUCAGCAACGCUGCGGUGAAUACGUUCCCGGGGCUUGUACACACCGCCCGUCAAGUCAUGAAAGUUGGUAACACCCGAAGCCGGUGGCCUAACCGUUGUGAG